GGGGGGGGGGGGGGGCGGGCUGAACACGGGCGAGUCGGGCGGAGAGGCCCAAGCGUGCUUGGGUGCUCGAGUGGCGAACGGGUGAGUAACACGUGGGUGAUCUGCCCUGCACUUCGGGAUAAGCCUGGGAAACUGGGUCUAAUACUGGAUAGGACCACUUCUUGGAUGGUGUGGUGGAAAGUUUUUUCGGUGUGGGAUGAGCUCGCGGCCUAUCAGCUUGUUGGUGGGGUAAUGGCCUACCAAGGCGUCGACGGGUAGCCGGCCUGAGAGGGUGUACGGCCACAUUGGGACUGAGAUACGGCCCAGACUCCUACGGGAGGCAGCAGUGGGGAAUAUUGCACAAUGGGCGCAAGCCUGAUGCAGCGACGCCGCGUGGGGGAUGACGGCCUUCGGGUUGUAAACUCCUUUCGCUAGGGACGAAGCGUUUUUGUGACGGUACCUGGAGAAGAAGCACCGGCUAACUACGUG
rnacentral:rRNA from 1 species